rnacentral:rRNA from 1 species
UACGUAGGGUGCAAGCGUUAUCCGGAAUUAUUGGGCGUAAAGAGCUCGUAGGCGGUUCGUCACGUCGGCUGUGAAAUCCCGAGGCUCAACCUCGGGUCUGCAGUCGAUACGGGCGGACUUGAGUACUGCAGGGGAGACUGGAAUUCCCUGGUGUAGCGGUGGAAUGCGCAGAUAUCAGGAGGAACACCAAUGGCGAAGGCAGGUCUCUGGGCCACUACUGACGUGAGAAGCGAAAGCUGGGGAGCGAACAGG